AUUGAACGCUGGCGGCAUGCCUUACACAUGCAAGUCGAGCGGCAGCGCGGGGGCAACCCUGGCGGCGAGCGGCGCACGGGUGAGUAAUACAUCGGAACGUGUCCUUUCGUGGGGGAUAACCAGUCGAAAGACUGGCUAAUACCGCAUGAGAUCUCACGAUGAAAGCGGGGGACCGCAAGGCCUCGCGCGAUUGGAGCGGCCGAUGUCGGAUUAGCUAGUUGGCGGGGUAAAAGCCCACCAAGGCGACGAUCCGUAGCUGGUUUGAGAGAACGACCAGCCACACUGGGACUGAGACACGGCCCAGACUCCUACGGGAGGCAGCAGUGGGGAAUUUUGGACAAUGGGGGCAACCCUGAUCCAGCCAUGCCGCGUGUGUGAAGAAGGCCUCGGUGUAA
rnacentral:rRNA from 1 species